rnacentral:rRNA from 1 species
UACGUAGGGCGCAAGCGUUAUCCGGAAUUAUUGGGCGUAAAGAGCUCGUAGGCGGUUUGUCGCGUCUGCCGUGAAAGUCCGGGGCUCAACUCCGGAUCUGCGGUGGGUACGGGCAGACUAGAGUGAUGUAGGGGAGACUGGAAUUCCUGGUGUAGCGGUGAAAUGCGCAGAUAUCAGGAGGAACACCGGUGGCGAAGGCGGGUCUCUGGGCAGUAACUGACGCUGAGGAGCGAAAGCGUGGGGAGCAAACAGG